rnacentral:rRNA from 1 species
CUCCUAAAGUGUAACGGAGGCGCCCAAAGGUUCCCUCAGCCUGGUUGGCAAUCAGGUGGUGAGUGUAAGUGCACAAGGGAGCUUGACUGUGAGACUGACAGGUCGAGCAGGGACGAAAGUCGGGACUAGUGAUCCGGCACCUACUUGUGGAAGUGGUGUCGCUCAACGGAUAAAAGGUACCCCGGGGAUAACAGGCUGAUCUUCCCCAAGAGUCCAUAUCGACGGGAUGGUUUGGCACCUCGAUGUCGGCUCGUCGCAUCCUGGGGCUGGAGUAGGUCCCAAGGGUUGGGCUGUUCGCCCAUUAAAGCGGCACGCGAGCUGGGUUUAGAACGUCGUGAGACAGUUCGGUCUCUAUCCGCCGCGCGCGUUGAAACUUGAAGAAGGCUGUCCCUAGUACGAGAGGACCGGGACGGACGUACCUCUAGUGUGCCAGUUGUCACGCCAGUGGCAGGGCUGGUUGGCUACGUACGGGAGGGAUAACCGCUGAAAGCAUCUAAGCGGGAAGCCUGUUUUGAGAUGAGGUUUCUUUUGAGGUUCCCUCUAGACUAGGGGGUUGAUAGGCCAGAUCUGGAAGCGUAGUAAUGCGUUAAGGUGACUGGUACUAAUUUUACCGAGUAAUAACA